rnacentral:rRNA from 1 species
CAGCAGCCGCGGUAAUACGUAGGUGGCAAGCGUUGUCCGGAAUUAUUGGGCGUAAGGGGCUCGCAGGCGGUUUCUUAAGUCUGAUGUGAAAGCCCCCGGCUCAACCGGGGAGGGUCAUUGGAAACUGGGAAACUUGAGUGCAGAAGAGGAGAGUGGAAUUCCACGUGUAGCGGUGAAAUGCGUAGAGAUGUGGAGGAACACCAGUGGCGAAGGCGACUCUCUGGUCUGUAACUGACGCUGAGGAGCGAAAGCGUGGGGAGCGAACAGGAUUAGAUACCCCGGUAGUCCCUGUCUCUUAUAC